UGAUAAGAACAGAUCUUGGCUGUGAGGCAGCACCUGUCACCCACUGAUUGGAGUUGAUCUGGCUGGCUGGGAGGUGUCCCCUUUCUCCCUCACCACUCCCAAAGCUGCACACUGGGUCAAAGAAAAUAGACAGAGAACUCCUCUUUGGCCCAAGGUGUGUGAGUGGCUGCACUCUUCUGCGGGAAUCUCAAAGCAGCUCCAGGAUGGUGGAGGCCCAGCGUCAAGACUCCAGGCGCAUCCACGCUGCGAGCAGGUGGCAGUCUGCUUUCCU
rnacentral:snRNA from 1 species